UACGGGGGGAGCAAGCGUUGUUCGGAUUUACUGGGCGUAAAGGGCGCGUAGGCGGUCAGCACAAGUCAGUUGUGAAAUCUCCGGGCUUAACUCGAAAAGGUCAACUGAUACUGUGCGACUAGAGUGCAGAAGGGGCAACUGGAAUUCUCGGUGUAGCGGUGAAAUGCGUAGAUAUCGAGAGGAACACCUGCGGCGAAGGCGGGUUGCUGGGCUGACACUGACGCUGAUGCGCGAAAGCCAGGGGAGCGAACGGG
rnacentral:rRNA from 1 species